AUUGAACGCUGGCGGCGUGCCUAACACAUGCGAGUCGAGCGGUAACAGGUGUAGCAAUACAUGCUGACGAGCGGCGAACGGGUGAGUAAUGCUUCGGAAUCUACCCAAUGGUGGGAAUAACCAGCCGAAAGGUUGGCUAAUACCGCAUACGUCCCACGGGAGAAAGCAGGGGAUCGCAAGACCUUGCGCCAAUGGAUGAGCCGAAGUCGGAUUAGCUAGUUGGAGGGUAACGGCCUACCAAGGCGACGAUCCGUAGCUGGUCUGAGAGGACGACCAGCCACACUGGGACUGAGACACGGCCCAGACUCCUACGGGAGGCAGCAGUGGGGAAUAUUGGACAAUGGGGGAACCCUAGAUCCAGCGACGCCGCGUGUGUGAAGAAGGCCUG
rnacentral:rRNA from 1 species